rnacentral:lncRNA from 1 species
AAAUUCUUCUUACCAUCAAUACGAAGAUCAAUAUUUUCGAUUUGAAAAUUGAGUCUUUUAUUACUACUUUUUAUAAAUUUUUAUUUUCAGUUGUUCAUUUUGAGGCUACUCGUUCACCAAGCAAACGAAGUUAAAAAAAUUAUGAAAUUUGGUUUUAUAGAUAGUUCAAAAACUGUAGAUCAUGUCUAAUAGAGCCGAUUGUCGAAUUGAAUAUCCCAUAUUGAAAACAACUUGAAAGUAUGGAUGUUUCUAUACUUUCGAAAGUAUAGUAACC